UGCAACGGCCUUUCUCUUCUUCCAGGCU
rnacentral:piRNA from 1 species